ACAGAAUCCCUACAUUUUUGGUGGGCCCUUCCCUGUGGGCCUCUCACAGUACAUCCGUGCCAGAGUGAAUUGCAGCCUCCAACCAUUGCCCUGCCUCCUUAUCUGUGGGCUGUGAGCACUGAAGGGGAUUGUACGGUG